rnacentral:misc_RNA from 1 species
UUUCCGUAGGUGAACCUGCGGAAGGAUCAUUAUUGGAUUUUGAAACUUCAGGCUGCUGCUGGCUCUCCUCGGAGGGCAUGUGCACGCUUGUUGUCCAUUAUUUCUCCCACUGUGCACAAAUUGUAGACCUUUCAGUAGGCCUAUGUUGUUUUUCACUAUCUCUGAAUGUAAUAGAAUGGUUUUGAAUCUUGGGAAAUACAAUACAACUUUCAGCAACGGAUCUCUUGGCUCUC